rnacentral:rRNA from 1 species
CAGCCGCCGCGGUAAUACGGAGGAUCCAAGCGUUAUCCGGAAUUAUUGGGUUUAAAGGGUCCGUAGGCGGUCUUGUAAGUCAGUGGUGAAAGCCCAUCGCUCAACGGUGGAACGGCCAUUGAUACUGCAGGACUUGAAUUAUUGGGAAGUAACUAGAAUAUGUAGUGUAGCGGUGAAAUGCUUAGAGAUUACAUGGAAUACCAAUUGCGAAGGCAGGUUACUACCAAUUGAUUGACGCUGAUGGACGAAAGCGUGGGUAGCGAACAGGAUUAGAUACCCCGGUAGUCCCUGUCUCUUAUAC